rnacentral:lncRNA from 1 species
UAUAUCUGAUAUUACUCAAAGGGUAGGUGAUGGUAGAUACUCACAACAGUAAUGACCUCGUAAAAUAUAUAAAAAUGACUAUCUACAUGCCAUCCGCGCAUUUGUUAUAAAAUGUGACAAUGAAAUACCUAAGCAAGGUUUGGUAUGAUAGAAACCAAAAGCAGGCCAUAGUAGUAAACUACAUGGUUGACCAUUAGAUAUAUAACUUUGUCCACACGCCUUCACCUGAUUUGCUUGAUAUAUAACUUUGUCUUUGUCCACACUCCUUCAUUUGAUUUGCUUGCAUGUUGUGACACACGGAUCUGCUAAAGGACAUAUCGGGUUAGCAAACUAUUCAAAUAGUGUGCCUCAUGGAUAGGGAGAAAAUAAUUUGGCCUAUAUGAAGGAGAGUCGCUUUGGACAAUAUUCAGUGAUGUGGAUAAAGUGUAACCUCUUUAACAUAAAAUAAUAUAAAAGAUAAGAGUAAAAAAAUUAUCUUACUAUUCUACAUGGCACCCAGAAAACAUAAUAAGCCUACUAUUCAUAGAUAUCCUCCAAGAUUUUCUUCACAAAACUUGAUUACACUAUGCGAUGAAGCAACCUAAAGGCAUCUCACCUUAUUAUGUGCCUAAUUAUUCAACACUGACAGAGGUUUCCAAAUUAGUGGUUUUGUUUUGGCAUAUAAAGAAACUGAAGUUCAUAAUAUAUAAAAGCAAAUUAAUAGAGAUUAGAUAUUGCAACCAUGAAUCCAAUCCUCUAGUGAUUACUCUCAUUCUAAAGUUAGAACAGACCAAUAAAAUUAGAUACUGCAACCAUGAAUCUCCUCUAGUGAAUACUCUCGUUCCAAAGUUAAACCAAAGAUGAGAGCUAAUUAUAUAUGCACAAGGCAUCCAGAGAAAUGAUCUGGUUGUUCAUAAAGUCAAAACCACUAUAUUGAUUCAACCAAGCAUGAUUCAAAUCAAACUACCCUUCAACCUCCGUCGUAGGACCUAUUGAGAUAUAAUGAUAUAAUGGCAGAACGAAAGGAAAAGAAAAGAAAAAAAAAGUAAAAUCAUCGUAAGAGCAUCGAAUUCAUAUCCUAAUCCACGGAAGCAUCAUGCAUAAAAAGUCUGUGCAUGAUGGAAAUGUAGAGACUAUAUAUCUCACUGGCGGACAUCCACAUAGUUUGAGGUAGAAGAAGCUCGUCGGCUAACAUUACCACAAGGAGGAGCUCAAGUUGGCCUUGGAACAGCCUAGUGUCACCGUGGAAGUCCAGAAGCAGUCCAAGCGGCGUUGCCACUAUGACCUUUAACUCUGCAAGAAGUGUCACACUCAUACAGAAAGAAGUUGUUCUCUUCCAUCCACAGAACACAAAAUAACAAAGGUAAAUAAGUUGUCUACUCAAAAUUCGGAACACUUCAUCUAAUAGGAUGACACAAACAGAAGGCCGUCGUGUAAAAAGCAAGUUCACUAAAUUCGGCAGAUGAUUAGUAAUUUAGCAUACUUGUAACCUCGCCAAUGGACAUACGCAUCCUCACAUUUAAAGAUUUUGCAUUAACAUAACCCAGUGUUAUAGUGAUAGUACGUUCCAACUCAUUCUUGAAAAAAAGAAACAUUGUACAGUUAAAAACGAAUAUCAAGCACAAGCACAAGCACAUGGAAAAGGACCACGUGGACAUUUUUUCCGUUUUAAGCUUGGAUCACCUAAACAUUGUUCUGUUUUGAGCUUGGACCACCUCAACAUUCACCACCAAAACAGAGAAGAGAAGGUUCCAAACAGAGCAAGUCAAGGAACAAAUUAUCCAAUUGUCUAUAUUCAUGGAUUAGAUGAUGCAAUAAUAAUAGUCAUGGAACUAUUUCUUUAAUGCAUAGGAAGCCAAAACAAUUCAUUAGCACUAUUCUCGAUCAAUUAUCUGAAGUCAUGGGACUAUUUUUUAAUGAACAUCUCAUUAGUGUAACUUAUAAAUCAAUAGAAACAAAUAAUAGGUGGAUCCAAAUAUGAAUGAGGAACCAAGCAGCUUUACUGUAUGCAAAUUAAAAGACUUCAACUCUGUACCCAAUGUUGAUCCUCGCUCUUGGCGUGAGAUAACUUCAGGUGAUAACGGGUGUAGCUUGGUAACACCAAGCUUGGUUAAAUCCUACUCCAUCAAUCAUCGGUGCCACACCAUUCUCUACCAUAAAAGUAGGGAGACAACACUAAAACAAAGAAGAGUAAAUGUUCCUUUCACUAACGGAUGAACUUUGCAAAUAACACUCAAAACGGGAUGAACAACAAUGGGAAAUUUUCUUCCAAGACUGCCGCAAAUCAUUAUGAAUCAUGGGCAUGUGUCAUGCACACACACAUGAUGUAUUUUUAUUAUUAUUGUGCACUAUUGCCCACUCCUCUAUAUAUCAUUAAGAACAGGUCACUAAAUCCUUGAUGGUUGGCACUAAGAUAAAGUCACAUGUUCAAAUUUUACUAACCUAAGGCAGUAAUUCAAACAGCCUGUUGAAGCCUUUUAUAGCAGGUCACUAAAUCCUUGAUGGUUGAAUCUAAAAAUAAUGAACCAUUAAAAAUGCAGCCCCACAAAAAGAUGUCACUCCCCAGCUUUAAUAGUUUCGGAAUAAAUUAACUCUUUUAUAACUCUUAUCUGAAGCAAAAGGAACCUGAACCACAGCAACACAAGCAAGAUCAUUAACUAAACAGCUCACUCCCAUCGCUAUACAUCGAACCGUAGGUUUAUAAAGAAUAAAUUUAUCUUUCCUAUACACAAAUAUCCAUCCAGCACAAAAUAUAACCUCUCACAAGAACAGUUUAUGUCUGGAAUAUUUGGACUGAUGUCAUAUUCAUGCAUCCAUGAUCAAAGCUCAAGUGUCAGUCUACAUGGAUUAAACCAGGGGAGCAUACCUCAAUAUCAUUUCAAGUAUACUAAUAGAAAAUAGCGGCCCAUUACAUUAGAAUUUAUGUAUAAUGGAUAAAAUCAAUUUGUUAUUUAUUUUACAGAACCAGUAGAGGAUGUCCAUAUAGAACAUGACAAGUAGAGUUGCCGAUCUGAGCUAAGAUGUGCACAAUCUGGAAAUGCAAAAUAUCUUAAGUCAUCCGGUUGUUUCCUGACUAACGGACUGCUAUUCUUCUCACAUAGCAAGUCAUUUUUUGUGUGUGAAUUCCAUUCAAUGAAAGAAUAUAGAAGGCUUAGAUAUGCUGUAUAUGCACUACUCAGUUUAUUUCGAAAGCAAAAAAAAAAGUGUGCUUGCAUGGUGGAUUACACAAAUCAAAUAGAUAACGGCAAUGAUGAAUCUUGGCAGGAAGUGCACUAACCAGUCCAGUAGCCGUGGAUGAACUUCGGGUAGGGAAACUGCAAUCGAAGUGAAUCCUUAUACCUGUAAAAUAUCAUCUCUGUCAAUAAAAAGAUGGGAAGCGAAAUAACAUUGAGGUCACAUCUGCGAAGGUAAUGAGAUACUCCAUCUGCUCGAGUACUUAAAUAUGUACGUCUUAAUUAUGACUAUUGGAGUGCUUGAUAUUCUUUAAUCAAGAUAUAGCCAUGUACUCUAAGAUCAAAUUGUAUGGAGAAGUGUUCAUAACAACAUAAGCACAUGGUAUAUGUGUGUAUAUAAAUAAAGUAUGACACAAGAGCUUAUACAGGAUAAAUGUAGAGAAGAUGUGUCAACAACAUUAAUAGGUCACUCCAUGUCAUAGUCCUUGGCCAAGGUCAGGGGACCUUGAAUCCUAGAAAUCUGUAGAGGAGGCAUCAUCAGGAGCAAUCUAUCACAACUCACAAAAUCACCCAAGAGGCAGGUACAGACUAUGUUAACCAUUUAUGUGUACAGAAUAUAUUAACUUGCACCACACCGGAGACAUUUCUCACCGGUAGCGGAUUAAUUAAUUUUCUGAUUAACACACAAGCUCGAGCCUGCUGCCGUAAUCAGCUUAUGACCAAAGGUGAAAGAAAUAGAUAAAUCACAAAAUUGGCAUAACUAUUUGCCAACUAAAAUAUAAAUAUCCUAGGUAUGCUUAAAUAUCCGACCCUGCUGCCGCAAUCAGCUUAUGAUCAAUGGUGUUUUUCAAAGCAAUAAAGGCAAGGAAAUGCUAUAAAAGAAUUAUGGCUCCAAAAAAUGCAAUAAAGGCAGCAAACUAAUGUUUUCACAUGGCUGUUUGUUGAUGUGCUAGCUACAAUUAUAGAUUGUACUAUUCAAGUUCAGGCUGUUGUGCCCACAUGUAAGGCCAUUCAAAGAGAUCAGUGUUCACAUGUAAUAUGAUGUGUUCCUCUUGAGCAUGCCAUCUACGAACGACCACCUGGAAAUAUCAGGCAGGAGAUGAGUACAUGUAAACAAGCAAUUGUGUGUAAUUAUCAGAAUUCUGACAGCUAAGACCGCUCGAAAUUUCCAACACAGUAUGAAAAAUCUUUGUUUGGCUCUUCUCUUUCCAAGUAUAGUACAUCUUCCAGGUGCAUUGUUUUCUUAACUAUUUUUCACCCACCACUCUAUAGACAGGAAAUGUGAAUCUUGAUACAUAAAUACACAUGAGCACUGUGAGUUAUCUGAUUCAGACUCGGAUAUACAUGUAACUGUAGUUUAAGAAGUUAUAGCAUCAGUUCCGGAGAAAACUCUUAAACUAUAGUACACAAUAAAAGGGGAUAUAUAAAUCACCGUACUUCAAAGGUGAUGAACUUGAUUUGGAACAGGGGCAAGUACCUGAGACGGGUGGGUAGUAAGGAAGAAUCCAACAGUAGGUGCAAACUCAUUCCCGUGCCUAAAAGGAUUGCAGACAGUGGAGAAGCAAUCAGUGGCAUAUCAUAUUGCAUCACAGAAUGGAAUCAUCCAAAACCGAACAACGUUAAUCAUUAGAACAUGUGGAAAAUGCGAGUGAAAUGAACAAAUGAUGCAAUGAAAUUUCACAAACCUAAACAGUGGAUAGCAACUUUUUCGGAUGUCCCAGAAACAGGUUAAGGGGUCAAACAGAAGAGGGAAAAUUGCAAGGCAGCAUGAUGUUGCUAAUCUAGAACUACUCCACAAAGCAAGUUUGGAUCUACUCUCAGAUCUAGUCUCAGAACUACUACACAAAGCAAGUUUCGAUCUACUCCAUAGCUUUCAUGGCCACCGUCUCUCGCUGUAGUAGUCUCGCUCAUCCUCUUUUAUUUUUUCGGUAGAUGCCCACAGCCACAACACAAUAAAAACUAUCCUUGGGCUAAUGAAAAUAUACGUGAAUACUGAAUCUGCUCAAUAGUAGAAGAGAGUUCAGUUAUCACCUCAGCUCACCUAGGAAGCAACAACUUCCAUUUCCAAGAGAAAAAUGACCAGGAAACGUAAGCCGCUAUUGGCUUGAUACCUGCAAACGACUAAUUGUUCAACACUACUUUGGGAACGAUCGCUCUGAGCAAUUAACAGUAAUAAACAAAGAACAAAAAGGAACAAAACAAAGCCAGGUUUUUUCACCUAAAAGGAAUUGUCAAAUGCAGCGAUAGCAUGCGUGCAUUUCUCUCCAAAUUGCACAUGAGCUUUGACUGUAGGGAAGAGAUAAAAUUUCCCACAAACAAACAAACGUCCACAAUAGCUGCAAGUUGCAUCUACUAUCAAAGGAACACUUAGCAUAUCUCAAAUAAAUAGGUACGAUAACCGUGAUCUCAGGAAGCGUAGGAAGAUGCAUCUUAUACUCUAGAGUUCAGAUAUAUCAAUAAUUCAUUUUAUCCGACCUCUUUGGAGUUACACUGUUAAAGGGCAUUGUUAAACUAAACAACCGUUCUUAUCCUGUAACAUGCUACUACUUAGUUGCACCCCUCUUACUCCUGACACUACGAACUCCAGUUUAUGUUGCGUAUGUUAUGCAUAUACAAACGAUGUAUAAAGCUUGAACAUGGCAAAAAAAUGCAAGGGAUUACCUGAAUAUAUGAUGCUGCAGUACACCAAUUUUUCUAACUGAAAUUAAACCUACCACUUCCUGCUCUCAGAUUUUAGUUCAUUUAUAAACUCUACAUUCUACUCAUACAAGCAUACCACAUCUAAUGUUCUGCUAUAACCCAGAUUAUUGUUACCUUACUAAACUCAUAAUUAUUAUCAGUUUAUAAUGGAAAUAAAAUACCCUAACGCAACCCCUAGUAAAUGACAUUACGAACUGCGGUGUAUGUGUGUGCUGCUAUGAUUCAGAUAACUGAACUCUGUUCUACUAUUGAGCAGGUUCAGUACAAGAUUUGGAAGUAUAUAGUGGUAACUAAUAAAAAUUUGGAAGUAUAAAAGGAAUCAUACAACCUGCAAGAUCUACUAUAGCCAAGCAAAAGUGGUAUUGUUAAGCAUUGGUAAAUAACUAAAUAUAGUAAAGGACAAAAUGACUUGGCAAAAGCAAUCAACACAACAAAAAGAGAGAUGCAAGUCAGCGAUAAUUAGUUGUCGUACUGUUCUUUUGAAACUAUACAUAUCUGUAAUGUUCUUUUGAAACUAUACAUAUCUGUACCAGUUGACCAUGACUGCACAAAUCUACAUGAUAACAUGUUUUCAAAACAUAUCCUGAAGGGAAAAUGGACCGCAUGAAAGAAACAGGCGCAAUCAUCCAUGGAUAGCAGGAUUGUACAGCAUGCUAAACUACAGUAAAAUGGAAUAUAUAAGUUAUAUCACAAUCCGUCUAAAUGUGCAAGAAACAGUUUUCUUACAUAGUUUUAUAUGUACUGUGCAUCUCCCUGCAAUAUUCAGUACCAAGCAGGCUGUAAAUGUCAUGGGUACGAUACAGUCUAUUACUCUGAUUUCGAUAAGCUCUUUACACAUAUUAUAGGAUAAAAAUAUUCUUAAAACGAGAUGGAAGUUUUUAAACAAAUCGUCAUCAAUGGAAAUUAUUUGCAUACUGAAAGAUAUAUUGAGCCUUACCUGCAAUAUAAAGAAAAAUAGCAAAUAAACUUCGGGCACUUUAUUAUGCUGCUGACAACCCUAUACAGCAAGUGAUCUGAAGUUUAAGCUGUUAC